GUGUGACACCCCCCAACAUUCCUAUGCCUUUUCACUGCUGUUUAAGAACAUCAAACUACUUCCUACAAUGGAACAAAACAAUCUUGUUGCUGUCUGUAAAAUGCUUGCUGGGUUUGAUUCCGUUUGGAGACCACAACAUGGUAGACGUCAGCCCCUGAGACCCUCGAUCCAGAUAAGGACAAACUCCCACAAAAAACCCGUCAAUGGAGAAAAAAGAUGGAAGAAACCUCAGUAAGACCAACAGAGAAGGGAUGCCUCUUCCAAGACGUACAGGCAUGCAAUAGUUGUCAGGUGUACAGAAGAGACCAAAAUCAGAUUCUUCCUCACAAAAUGUGAUUUAUAAUUUUCGUUUAGUUAUUGUU